GGGAUGGGAGAGAAAGGGCAGCCCAGGUGACAACAGGCUGUUCUGGGGCUCUGUGCAUCUCUCUCUUAAUUGCCUCCUUCGGUCUCUUCAAGUUUCCAUCUUAAGUCAGAUACUGAAACCUAAGGACUGACUAUGCACUUUGUAUUAAAUGGUCUUUUUUGGUUGCUUUUCUUCUUGCUCGUACCUAUAGUCAUUUCCUAAUAUGCUUAAACUUCUGCUAGGGAAUGAGAGGAGAAGGGAGAGGACUUCAAAUAGAACCAGCCACUUUGAUCCACGAUGUAAAAUGAUUAGUGGAAGAAGCGGAAGUUACCUCGCAUUUCAGAUUUCAAUACUGACUUUCUCUGCUCUCUUGCCAACGGUCAAAAAGAGUUCACCAUAAAAGAAAAUAUCCUGCGAGAAAAGUUCAGGACCUCCAAAAUCUAGAAGAAUCUUUCUUCUCUGAAAUUCGCUGAAAAAGGCCCCAUGUUGUAGGAAGCCCGAGGAGCCCAUGUAGAGAAGAACCCGUAGCUGACAUCCCCGACUGAACUGCCAGCACCAACUUGCAAGCCAUGUGAGAGAACUAUUCUUGGAAGUGGAUCCUCUGGUCCUCAUGGAGGAACUCAAAGUGAUGCUGCACGGAGCAGAGAUGGCCAUCCCCUCCAAGCACUGCCCAUAAUUGCAGAUUGAUGAGUAAAAUAAAUGAGUGUUCUUCCUAA
rnacentral:lncRNA from 1 species